AUUUUGGUUGCCAUCCCUAAUUCUCUUUCCCUUACCCGCUUUCCUAUUGAAGCUUCCAUUUUUUGUUUUGAGCUUUCGAUUCGGCUCCCUCAAAUUCCGUAGGCGACAGCGACGGCCGGCGACGAUAAGAUAUUGAAUGUCCCGAAUUUCCUUUCCUUCCUUGCUUUCCCUGUAAGCUUCCGCUUUCUGUUUUGAACGGCUCCCUUAAUCUUCUAUGGCACAGACGACCUCACAACAUUGACAACCCACUUUCUAUUUUGUCUUGAUUCGUUUCCCUGAAGCUUUCUCAACUCGAACGACGCCACCAGUCGGACAAUUGAAGCUCCGUGUUUCAGGCACCACUUCCUCCUCCUUCCCUCUUGAAAUGCUAUUACAAUGAUUUUGAUUUGUUGAUUAUAUAGGAUUAAUGUGGCUGUGUUCUUCGACUUGAUCAGUUGCUUGCUGUUUGAGAGAAAACAAAAAAAGAAGAAGAAGAAUUGAUGGGCUUUUCCCACUAUUUGAUGAAUUGCUUGAUGCUUGACUAGUGUUUGGGGAGCAAAAGUUCGAGCUAUAAUGUAGCUUGGCUCUUACUUGCGAUAUGUUACGUAUUUCUCAUUUAGGCACACAUUUCUUCAUGCCCAUCCUAUAGGGUGCUGUUUUAUGUUUCCUUUAGAACUAUACAUUUCCCAUUUAAUAUCUUUCAGUUUUUGAAACUGUAUAUAUAGUCUCAAACUCAUGUGCUUUCUUUUACAGGUGGAUAAUAGUUUUCUAGCAUGCAAAUUAAAAAUUGAGGUAAAGUGAACUCUUUUUUGGGAGAUGCCCGAGUUCUUUCUGGACACUAAUGCUAAAAGGAGCGAAGCUCACAGCUCAUGUGGGCAAAGCCCUGCAGUCUUUGCCUAAGAACCCUUAUUUCGUUCUUUUUCCAUCUGGAUUUUUUAGAUAUUAUGGUAAUGUUAACUCGAAACAUGAUGGGGCAAUACAUGAAACUGAAUGGGAAAGAUUACUCAGACCGUUUGACCUCAAAGAGCUUCGAAAAUCUUUUAAUCAAAUCACCCCAUUUCAACUCUGUAAACUGCUUGAAUUGCCACUUGAUGUAUCCACAUCAAUGGCAAUAUUCCAAUGGGCGGGUGCCCAGAAGGGCUAUUGUCACACAUUUAAGGUGUACUAUGUGUUAAUCAAAAAGCUUGGUGAAGCCAAAGAGUUUAAAGUUAUAGAUAGGUUGUUGUUGCAGAUGAAAGAGGAAGGGAUUGUUUUUAGAGAGCCCCUCUUCAUAUGUAUUAUGAAAUCUUAUGGGAGAGCUAGUUUGCCUGGUCAAGCUACUAGGCUGUUGUUGGAUAUGAAAUGUGUUUAUUCUUGUGAGCCAACAUUUAAGUCUUAUAAUGUUGUGUUGGAGAUACUGGUAGCUGGUAACUGCCCUAGUGUUGCAUCAAAUAUUUUUUACGACAUGCUGAGUAAGGGUGUAUUACCCACUGUUUACACAUUUGGGGUGGUGAUGAAAGCGCUCUGUAUGGUUAAUGAAGUUGAUAAUGCUUGCUCACUGCUUAGAGACAUGACAAAAUAUGGGUGUGUGCCAAAUUCUGUGGUCUACCAGACUCUCAUACAUGCACUUUCGAAGAGAGAUAGAGUGAAUGAAGCAUUGAAAUUUCUGGAGGAAAUGUUCCUGAUGGGAUGCAUUCCUGAUGUUGAUACCUUCAAUGAUGUUAUUUAUGGAUUGUGCAGGCUUAAUCGAAUUCAUGAGGGGGCAAAAUUGGUUGACCGCAU
rnacentral:misc_RNA from 1 species